rnacentral:rRNA from 1 species
UACGGAGGGAGCUAGCGUUGUUCGGAAAUACUGGGCGUAAAGCGCACGUAGGCGGCGCAGCAAGUCAGGGGUGAAAUCCCGGGGCUCAACCUCGGAACUGCCCUUGAAACUGCAGUGCUAGAAUCUUGGAGAGGCGAGUGGAAUUCCGAGUGUAGAGGUGAAAUUCGUAGAUAUUCGGAAGAACACCAGUGGCGAAGGCGACUUACUGGACACAUAUUGACGCUGAGGUGACGAAAGCGUGGGGAGCAAACAGG